rnacentral:rRNA from 1 species
GACAGAGGGUGCAAACGUUGUUCGGAAUUACUGGGCGUAAAGCGCACGUAGGCGGACUGUUAAGUCGGGGGUGAAAUCCUGGGGCUCAACCUCAGAAUUGCCUCCGAUACUGGCAGUCUCGAGUGCGGGAGAGGUGAGUGGAAUUCCCAGUGUAGAGGUGAAAUUCGUAGAUAUUCGGAGGAACACCAGUGGCGAAGGCGGCUCACUGGUCCAUUACUGACGCUGAGGUGCGAAAGCGUGGGGAGCA